GGGGGUAUAGCUCAGUGGUAGAGAGCAUGUUUAGCUAUGCCUGAUGUCCUGGGUUCAAUCCCCAGUACCUCCU
rnacentral:tRNA from 1 species